GGGCUUCCUCUUUCUGUGAACAAUACAGAAAGGGACCACUAAAAAAAGGUAAUGCAACCACAGAUUACUCAGUGGUUCUUAAGGGUGAUGUGGGGUCUCCACCCCACCCUGCAGGAACACUUCCUCAACUUGUCAGGAGGUGGGAGGGACAGUGAAAGAACAUGGAUGACCUCAUUAAUGAGCAAAAUUAUGAUUCACCUACAAAGGCUUCUUCAUACAGAUUUUAAUCCAAUGAUCAGGCCCUAAAUGUUUCUCGCUACAUUUACUGUCAUUUACUGCCCAUCAGCCUCAUCUGUUUUGCCACAGUGACGUUUCAUUUCUGUGGUCUUUUGCUACUUGAUUCAAUGUAUAUUUCCCUUCUCAAACAUUUUUCAGCAUUGAUGGUCCUAUGAGUCCACUCAUAUUUCUUCAGCAGGCGUGUUAAAGGCUAUUGUGCACACAUUCGCUGGAUCAGAGUAAAUGCAAGCACACACAUUUUCAGACUACCGCCAUCCAUGUGGUUGAAUUUAAUGCAGGCACGAACCCCAACUGUUCAAGGGAUGGACCCCGACUGUCCCACAGAACGAAUCCUGACUGUGAUGAGGAUGGUUCUGGGAUCCUGGACAGAGCCAAUGAAGACUGAAGACUCUGGACCACAGGAACACUGAAACACAUGAACAGGACAUGAUGAUCACCAGGGUUACAAGCAGUGAACCUGGACCACCUGACCAGAGGAC